rnacentral:lncRNA from 1 species
GCAAGCUGGUCCUAAAAUUGGAAAUUCAAAAUUGCAAAGGACAUAGAAUAGCCAAAUAUUUUUGAGAACAAAUACUUAGACGACUUAAUUUCCAGAUUUUUACUACAAAGCUAUAGUAGUCAAGAUAAUGAUUUUAGAUAUAUAAUUCAAUGGAACAUAAAGACUCCAGAUAGUCACAUAUAUAAUCAAUUUCCACAAAAAUGAUAAUAGGGAAAGGACAGGUUUUUUUUUUUCAACAAAUGGUGCUAUCUGAACUUUUAUGUAAGAGGGAAAUAAAAUUAUCCUUAUAUUAAUACCAUAUAAAACACCCCCCCACAAAAAAAAAGAUUACUUGAAAUGAAAAAUAAACCUAAACAUGAAAUGAGUCUGAGGUGGAAACCAGACAUGUAAAGACAGGGAAUGUUAGAGUAACAAUCAGAGUUGCAUAAGAACCACAACAGGAAAUGCUUGCUCUUCCAGUCAAGCUGACUGUGCAAUCUUAUUUGUGAAAUAUACAGUGAAAUCCAGACUCCCUAUCUUCUUGACAGAUGAAGUGUUUAUAUAGUAAAGUAAGCUGGACAAGAAAUAAGUCAAUUUUUGAGUAAAUAUGAGAAAGUUCACAAAGUGUUAUGUAUUGAUUGUGCUAUUUCCCGAUUUUAUUGUUUUGACAACUUUAAAAGCUUGCUGAUCAGAGAGAGACCAGGCCCAAAGGGUCAAGCUCUCCUCUAGGCCAGGAGCACAUCUUUGAUAUGCAAACCAAGCACUCUGAUGGUCUAUAGCUUCAACCACCUUUAUUUUAGUUUUUUGGUGGUGCUGGGGAUUGAACCCAGGGCCUUGUGCAUGUGAGGCAAGUACACUACCAACUUAGAUAUAUCCCCAGCCCAGCCUCAACCAUCUUAUGGAACUCCCACACACAAGCCAGUAUUUUCCCUGUUUAAUACGAUCCCUGAUCAAGGUACCAGAAAAUGAGUACAUUCCUAUAGUCUGAACUCUAAAUUCUACACAGAAGGGAAAUAUAGUUCACACAUUGCCUCAUCUUUAAUAUGCAUUCUGAGAAAGAUAGCUGCAAUAUGCAAUAACUCCAAGGGAAUUAUGGAAUUAGCCAGUUCUAAACUGUUAUUCACCAAGUCCAGAUGAACCAAUUAUUUCUUUCUUGGGUUCUCUUCCUUGCUAUGUUUCUCCCCAGAAAGGUAAUUAAGCUAGGUUUUCCCUUGGCUCCUGUCUUCUGCCUCCUGACUGGCAUGUGCCAACACCUUCAC